rnacentral:tRNA from 1 species
GGGUAAAUAGUUAAAUUAUAAUAUAAAGUUGCAAACUUUGAGUUUAUUAUCCU